GCUGAGGAGUCCCAUAAUAGGACGAAACAGCCGUCC
rnacentral:hammerhead_ribozyme from 1 species